CUGGCAGAUUGACCUCCUCAAAUCAUACAGACCACUUGUGAGAAAUUAUUUAACUAUUCCAUCUUCACAUCCACUAAAAAUGAGAUAUCUGCCUGAGGCCUGGCUCCCCACCUUAAGGCCAGAUCAACAGCACUGCAGGCCUUGUCUUCAUUUCUGCUGCUGCCCCCAGCUGCUGGCAGCAGCCUUCAGGCAGGACCAUAGCUGGGGACCAAAGUAGAGCUGGGAAUGAGCCAUCUGAGCACAACCUUGAAUCUGACA